rnacentral:rRNA from 1 species
AUUGAACGCUGGCGGCAUGCCUUACACAUGCAAGUCGAACGGCAGCACGGGUGCUUGCACCUGGUGGCGAGUGGCGAACGGGUGAGUAAUACAUCGGAAUGUACCUUGUAGUGGGGGAUAGCUCGGCGAAAGCCGGAUUAAUACCGCAUACGCUCUGAGGAGGAAAGCGGGGGACCUUCGGGCCUCGCGCUACAAGAGCAGCCGAUGUCAGAUUAGCUAGUUGGUGGGGUAAAAGCUCACCAAGGCGACGAUCUGUAGCUGGUCUGAGAGGACGACCAGCCACACUGGGACUGAGACACGGCCCAGACUCCUACGGGAGGCAGCAGUGGGGAAUUUUGGACAAUGGGCGAAAGCCUGAUCCAGCAAUGCCGCGUGUGUGAAGAAGGCCUUCGGGUUGUAAGGCACUUUUGUCCGGAAAGAAAUCCUUUGGGUUAAUACCUCGGGGGGAUGACGGUACCGGAAGAAUAAGCACCGGCUAACUACGUGCCAGCAGCCGCGGUAAUACGUAGGGUGCAAGCGUUAAUCGGAAUUACUGGGCGUAAAGCGUGCGCAGGCGGUUUUGUAAGACGGAUGUGAAAUCCCCGGGCUUAACCUGGGAACUGCAUUCGUGACUGCAAGGCUAGAGUAUGGCAGAGGGGGGUAGAAUUCCACGUGUAGCAGUGAAAUGCGUAGAGAUGUGGAGGAAUACCGAUGGCGAAGGCAGCUCCCUGGGCCAAUACUGACGCUCAUGCACGAAAGCGUGGGGGAGCAAACAGG